rnacentral:rRNA from 1 species
CCUACGGGAGGCAGCAGUAGGGAAUUUUCGUCAAUGGGCGCAAGCCUGAACGAGCAAUGCCGCGUGAACGAGGAAGGUCUUCGGAUCGUAAAGUUCUGUUGAAGGGGAAAAAGAGCGGAGAGAGGAAAUGCUUUCUGAUUGAUAUUACCCUUCGAGGAAGUCACGGCUAACUACGUGCCAGCAGCCGCGGUAAUACGUAGGUGGCGAGCGUUAGCCGGAAUGAUGGGGCGUAAAGGGUGCGUAGGCGGCCUGCUAAGUCUGGAGUGAAAGGUGCCGGCUCAACCGGUACAGGCUCUGGAAACUGGCGGGCUAGAGAGCAGGAGGGGGCGGUGGAACUCCAUGUGUAGCGGUAAAAUGCGUAGAUAUAUGGAAGAACACCAGUGGCGAAGGCGGCCGCCUGGCCUGUUACUGACGCUGAGGCACGAAAGCGUGGGGAGCAAAUAGGAUUAGAUACCCGAGUAGUC